CCUUAACUGCUUAUUUCAUUAACAAUUACUUCUUUUAACAAUUAUCAGUGAUAACAUGAAGCAACAUAAUUAAAUAAUUAUGCGGAAGACUUAAAUUAAAGAAGACAAAACAAUAAUGCGAGAAUCAACAUAUGCCUCUACCCAAGAACUGGUGUCACAUUACUCACGAACUCCUAAGAGUACUAAAUACAACCAUUUGAAAGAAAAUAUAAACUGUUUGUAUCGAAUACAUGAGAUAACGGACUGAAAUAAAAGAUAAAGGAGACGUCGGGCCUGCGGACGCCUGCAAGGCUACCUCGGUGUCUCACUGUACUGAAGGCUGGCUCCCGCGCUACUGCUGUUGUCCAAGACCUGGAUCUGUGUAAAAGAGCACAAAGUGUAGCAUUAGCACAACCGACCCCAUGUGCUGGUAAGUGUCUAGCCUAACCCCGACGAGGUAGUGACGAGGCUAGGACUAGACUCCAGAUAAACUUGUGAGAAACAUGCUUCAGGGAUAGUAGUUAAAAGAAAAUAACAGGGAAUACUGAGGAAGCUAGCAAUAUAACUUCUAUCACAAAUGAAGAAAAUAAAGGCAACUUUCAAUUUCAGUUUCAUCUUGUUGCAGGCGUGCAACCCGAUCCUAUUUCUCAUAUCUCGUGGUAGGCGUACCACCCGCUCACAUUUCAUUAUUUCUCGUGGUAGGCGUACCACAUGCUCCCAUUUUAUUAUAUCUUGUGAUAAGCGUACCACCCGCUCCCAUUUCAUAAUAUCUUGUGGUAGGCAUACCACCCGCUCCCAUUUCAUCACACAAUUACAAAAAAUUCCGGCAAGGGAACAUAAGCGAUAUAAUAACCUCCUGGCGAGGGAACAAAAGCAAUAUAAUAGUUUCCUGGCAAGGGAACAAAGAUAUCGAAACAAUCAUCCCGGCAAGGGAGAAUCAGCUAUAACCAAUCUUAACUUAGCUUGUACUCAGCCCAAAUAAUGGCAAUGCUCAAACAUAAAUAAGAUCUGCGAGGAUAGAACAAUUCUUUGCGCAAUAUAGAAGAUCAUUAAUUAAAGCAUCUGAAAUGUCAUUUAAGGACACAACCACUUUCAAUUUAAGACUCAAGGUCAUGCUCGACACCAACGUUUAGGUACUCGUCACCAUGCCAAUACGUCGUACUCAACAAGAAGCAGGUAGCAAAUAUGACUCCACUCCUAAUCCCUAAAGCUAAAGUUAGACCAAACACUUACCUCGAUGCCUUGAACACCACUCAAGUCUCAAUUAUAGCUUUACCUCUUGAUUCCACCACCAAUCCGCUCGAACCUAGUCAUAAGUUACUUAAUUACAUCAAUAAAUGCUAAAUGAGUCAACCCCAAUGCAUGAAAAUAAGUUUUAUAAGGUUUUACCAAAAAGGUCAAAAAUGCCCCCGGGCAAACUCGAGGUUCAGACCAAAACCCGGUUACCCAUUCCCCCACAAAUCCAAAUAUAUGGUAUGUUUUGAAAUCGGAUCUCAAAUUGAGGUCCAAAUUCCCAAUUUUAGAAAACCUAGGUUCUACCCAAAACACCCAAUUUUCCAAUGAAAAUCUUUGAUUUGAAGUUGAAAUUAUGUUAAAAGAUGUUAAGAAGUGAAGAAAAUGAGUUAGAAAUCAUUUACCAAUCGUUUUGGAGAAGAAAAGUUGUUUAGAAAAUCGCCUCUUACGUUUUGGGGUUUUGAAAAGUGUAAAAAUAAUUGAAAUUCACGUGAAUUUAUACCCCUCUGAAACUCCCUCUGCGGACCGCACAAAAAGGACCGCGGCCGCACAGGCCUCCCUGAAGACCUGCAGAUCAUAGCCCCGUGCGGACCGCACAAAGCCGACCGCGGCCGCACAGCAUCCACCGCGGACCGCUCAAAGGCAACCGUGACUGCACGCAAUUUCUCGCGGACCGCACAACAGGGUUCAGAGACCUGAAAAAUUUCCUGAACCUGCAACAUCUGAUCUUUUUAAGCCUAAGACAUCCCAGAACCUACUCGAAACUCACCUGAGCCCUUGAAACUCUAACCCAAGUAUAUACACAACCUCAAAAAUAUUCUACGAACAUAUUCGUGUAAUCAAAUCGCCAAAAUAACAUCAUGAACAUCGAAUUAAACCUCAAGAUCAAUGAAAUUUUCAAAAACUCCAUCAAGUUCAAAUUUAAGAAUUAAAGUCCGAAAAACGUCAAACGAUGUCCGAUUUUAACCAAACUUUACAGAAACCUCUUAAAUAACAUAUAAAACCUGUACCAGGCGCCAGAACCAAAAUACAGGCCCGAUACCAAUACGUUCUAAUCAAUUGUCAUUUCUAUUUUCCUAAAACAUUUCCAUUGGGACCUCGGAAUCCGAUUCCGGGCAUACGCCCAAGUCCCAUAUUUUUCCACGGACCCUCCGAGAUCGUCAAAUCGCGGGUGCGGUACCGUUUACCCAAAAUAUUGACCGAAGUCAAAUUUUAUUCAUUUUAAUAUCAAAAUUUAGCAUUUUUCAAAGAAUUUCAUAUUUAAGCUUUUCGGCUACGUGCCUGGACUGUGCACGCAAAUUGAAGUGACUCCAAAUGAGGUUUUCAAGGCCUCGAAAGCACAUAAUGGAUAAAAAAUUAAGUGAUGGUCCUUUGGGUCGUCACAACUAUUGAUCAACUUUAUCUUUACUCCAUACAUUCCCACAUUGAUAGGUGCCUACUUUUCCCAAUCAUCUCUACCAUGAUUAGAAAAAGUGGGCACCUAUCAACGAAUGAUGCUGGUUAUUGUACCGUUAGUAUGUCCCACAUCUGUUGCAAGAAUGAAUGAUCUUCACUUAUUAAAAAUUUUGAUUUUUUUAUCUCAUGAGCUAUCUGUUGAAUUCAAGUUAAUAUAGUAUAAAAACUAGAUUCAUUAUUCUUAAUUUAUUCAAUGUUGGGCCGUGUGUGAUGAUAGAUACCGUCAUUCUUAAUCAUCAAGAUCAAAUUAUCCAUCGUGAUUUUUUCAAAAGAUGUAGCUUUAAAGAAAAUAUGCAUAAUAAAUCAUUCACAAAUCUAAAAUAUCUCAAUUAAAACUUAAAUUUAUAAUUUUAGAUAUUACUAGAAUAAAAGUAGACUCUAACGAUUCAAUAACUUAAGAACUAAAUAUUCGAGCUGGCAAAGUAGUAGCAACAAACCUAACUUUAAUAUUGCUCCGCUUCAAAUAUCUAGCUAAAACUAGGCGUGUUAGGUCAUUUUGGUGUAUGUCCCAUAUUAGUUGAAGGAAUAGAUAUCCUUAUAUAAUUUUGAAUAAUUUUUUACCUCAUGAAUUAGCUUUUGCGCUAGGAUUAAAGUUAAGAUUCAUUUUCAUAACAAAUAAUGAUGUCUUAUAAUUUGUCAUCCCAUUGAUCAAUGCCCUCUGGAGUCAUCCCUGUUUCACUUCUUUGUGAUUCAAUAUUAUUGACCACAACAUUAAUCAGAAGUUUAAAGUUCGAGUCUUAAGUAUUUGUUAUACCCCAUUUUAAACUGGUUAAAGUAUGGCACAACAUAUAGGCAAUUCCGAUUUUGAUUAAAAUUAAAGAGUCGCCACAUAAUUAUUUUUAAGGUUAAUUAGGACACUUAUUUAUUAAAUAAUACUUAAAGUUAACUCCGUUUAUAUGGUCUGCUUAGUUUUAGAAAUUCUAGGUAAGGGUUCGAGUUAUCUCAAAAGGAAAGGGUUAGUCACCUUUUAAGAUCAAUUAAAAAAUAGUUAAUCAGCCAAACUUAGGUUAAUUAAUUUUGAGACUUAUUUUUUAUUAAAAGGGUACAUGAAAAAAAUGAUUCACACAAAAGUAUAAAGUAGCUAAUCUUUGAUUGUAGAGAUAGAUUCAUAAAAUGUUUGAAGGAAAACGUUGUCAUUUGUCAUAAAGAAAAAAAAAUGAUUUCAACACCAAAUACAAAGACGUUUCUGGUCUUAAGCUUAGGAAGACAAACUCAGUUUUUUGAGUCUUCACUAUCAUCAGGAAAAUAAUUCUUCUUAAUAAGAGUUAAACUUUCUCACAAGGCUAGCCAAAAGAUAUAUGAUUUUAAAAGGUUGCGGACUUCUAAAAAUUAUCAUAUUGAAAAAUAGAUUAGACUAAUUACUGAUUUUAGAAGUUCUCUUCCAAUCCCUUAUUCUAUAUGUGGUAAAAACUCUAAAUGGUUAUGAGUCUGGCUGUUAUAAACAAGUAGUCACAGAAGAUAAAAUGUUAGCCAACUAAUAAAUAAGAAUUAAAGCAACAUAAUGAACAACCUUCUAUCCAAUUAUUCAGGAGCACAAAUCUCCCAAGGUUUCACUAUUCAAAGGGAUUGCGAAGUAAAAGAUUGAAAGAAAUGAGUUAAGAUUCAUUUACCUAUGAUUUGGGGAAGAAAUGGUCUUUGAAAAAUCGCCUCUUGAGGUUUAGAUUCUGAAAAAUGGGAGAAUGAAUGAAAAAUCCCGUCCAAAAUCGUUUUUGAAUAGUUGCAGGUAUCGCAUUUGCGAUCAGGGAUUCGCAAUUGCGAACUCCACAAAUACGAACUUUACUUCGCAAAUGUGAAGAAUUGCCUGGCCUGAUAGCAUCGCAAAUGCGAACAAGUGUUCGCAAAUGCGGCCUGAUCUGAUCGCAAUUGCAAUCAUGAGCUUUGCAAUUGCGAAGGUCCCCGCCCAGCCCUUCUGCUCGCAAAUGCGAAACUUCUUCGCAAAUGCGAGGCUCGCAUUUGCGAGCCAAACUUUGCAAUGCGAAGUGUGCAUACCUGAAGCAUACUAGCAAUAUUUCUUAAGUCCAAAUCACUCUGUAGCCUAUCCGAAACUCACCCGAGCCCUCGGAACUCCAAACCAAAUAUGCCCACAAGUCUUAAAACUUCAUAUAAACUUGCUCGCGCGAUCUAAUUGCCAAAAUAACACCUAGAACUACGAAUUUAGCCCCAAAUUGCAUGAAAUUUCCAAGAAAGUUUCAAAGCUUUUAUUUCUCAACCAAAGAGCUGAAUCACGUUAAAUCAGCCCCGUUUCUCACCAAAUUUCACAGACAUGAUGUAAAUGUUAAAAUAAAUCUGUACCGGGCUCCUGAACCAAAAUACGGGCCCGAUACCAACGAGAUCAAGCAUUAAUCAAAUUCCUUAAAUCAUUAGAUUUUAAGUCUUACAAUUUUCAUCAAAAAUUUAUUUUCCAGGCUUGGGACCUCGAAAUUCGAUUUUGGGCAUAUGCAUAGGUCCCACAUUUUCCUAAGGUUCCACCGGGACCGUCAAAACACGGUUCCGAGUCCGUUUUCUCAAAAUAUUAACCGAAAUCAACUAAAAUUAACUUUUUAGGCCAAAAAUUAUUAUUUUAUCAAUUUUCCACACAUAAGCUUUUCGGAAAUGCGAACGGACUGUGUACGCAAAUCGAGGAGAGAUAAAAUAAGGUUUUUAAGGUCUCGGAACACGGAAUCGAUUUCUAAAACGUAAGAUGACCCUUUGGAUCAUCACAGAUGAGUUUGGGCUCAAAUUACUACCCCUAGUUGCCAUCAACUCAUACAACUAUUGAUCAACUUUAUCUUUACUCCGUACAUUCCCACAUUGAUAGGUGCCUACUUUUCCCAAUCAUCUCUACCAUGAUUAGAAUAAGUGGGCACCUAUCAACGAAUGAUGUUGGUUAUUGUACUGUUAGUAUGUCCCACAUCUGUUGCAGGAAUGAAUGAUCUUCACUUAUUAAAAAAUUUUGAUUUUUUUUUAUCUCAUGAGCUAUUUGUUGAAUUCAAGUUAAUAUAGUAUAAAAACUAGAUUCAUUAUUCUUAUUUUAUUCAAUGUUGGGCCGUGUGUGAUCAUAGAUACCGUCGUUCUUAAUCAUCAAGAUCAAAUUAUCCAUCGUGAUUUUUUCAAAAGAUGUAGCUUUAAAGAAAAUAUGCAUAAUAAAUCACUCACAAAUCUAAAAUAUCUCAAUUAAAACUUAAAUUUAUAUUUUUUGAUAUUAAUAGAAUAAAAGUAGACUCUAACGAUUGAACAACUUAAGAGAACUAAAUAUUCGAGCUGACAAAGUAUUAACAACAAACCUAACUUCAAUAUUGCCCCGCUUCAAAUGUCUAGCUAAAAUUAGGCGUGUUGGGUUAUUUUGGAGUAUGUCCCACAUUAGUUGAAGGAAUAGAUAUCCUUAUAUAAUUUUGAACAAUUAUUUACCUCAUGAAUUAGCUUUUGCGCUUGGAUUAAAGUUAAGAUUCAUUUUCAUAACAAAUAAUGAUGUCUUAUAAUUUGUCAUCCCAUUGAUCAAUACCCUCUGGAGUCAUCCCUGUUUCACUUUUUUGUGAUUCAAUAUUAUUGACCACAACAUUAAUCAGAAAUUUAAAGUUCGAGUCUUAAGUAUUUGUUAUACCCCAUUUUAAACUGGUUAAAGUAUGGCACAACAUAUAGGCAAUUCCGAGUUUGAUUAAAAUUAAAGAGUCGCCACAUAAUUAUUUUUAAGGUUAAUUAGGACACCUAUUUACUAAAUAAUACUUAAAGUUAACUCCGUUUAUAUGGCCUGUUUAGCUUUAGAAAUUCUAGGUAAGGGUUCUAGUAAUCUCAAAAGGAAGGGGUUAGGCACCUUUUAAGAUCAGUUAAAAAAUAGUUAAUCGGCCAAACUUAGGUUAUUUAAUUUUGAGGCUUAUUUUUUAUUAAAAGGGUACAUGAAGAAAAUGACUCACACAAAGGUAUAAGGUAGCUAAUCUUUGAUUGUAGAGAUAGAUUCAUAAAAUGUUUGAAGGAAAACGUUGUCAUUUGUCUUAAAGAAAGAAAAAUGAUUUCAACUGCAAAUACAAAGAUGUUUCUGGUCCUAAGCUUAGGAAGACAAAAUCAGUUUUUUGAGUCUUUACUCUCAUCAGGAAAAUAAUUCUUCUUAAUAAGAGUUAAACUUUCUCACAAGACUAGCCAAAAGAUAUCUGAUUUUAAAAGGUUGCGGACUUCUAAAAAUCAUCAUAAUGAAAAAAUGGAUUAGACUAAUUACUGAUUUUUGAAGUUCUCUUCUAAUCCCGUAUUCUAUAUGUGGUAAAAACUCUAAAUGGUUAUAAGUCGUGGCUGUUAUAAACGAGUAGUCACACAAGACAAUGUUAGCCAACUAAUAAAUAAGAAUUAAAGCAACAUAAUGAACAACCUUCUAUCCAAUUAUUCAGGAGCACAAAUCUCCCAAGGUUUCACUAUUCAAAGGAAUGAGGAGAAAAUGAUGAUGGCUCAGCUUCGACAGCGACGGUGUAUAUGACAUGCAAAAGAAAAGAGAAGUAAAAGAUUAGGAGGCAACCCAUAUAAGACAUAUCAAUGUAUAAAGAGAUGUUCACAUAUAUAGAAGUAAUUAGGCAAAAUAACCAAAUGAUUUCAGUAAUUACAUAUGAAUAUAUCUUUGACUAGAACUCUAAAUACUUUAACAGAUCCAUUUCAUUAAUAUAGACUUGCACCUCUAAAGUAAUACAAAAACAAUCUCCUAACACAUGAAGUAUUAUUCAUAUAAUCUUGACCAAGGGAUAAACUAACGAAAUCCAAACUAUUAUCCUAGUUAUUACAACACAUGGUUUUUCGUUAAAAGGUUAAUCAUUGAAAACUUCCUGUUAACAAAAACAAUCCCAACAUAGAUAAGUAAUUUCCUGCCUUUUGAAAUAUUUUAGACCAAAAGGAACAAUAACUCUAACCCAUGUUCUAAAUAAGAGACUAGUUCAGAAACUACUGUAUUAACUCAUAGAAUAAAAUAAAAAAUUAACUUUAUACAUACUAGACAAAGAAGUGAUAUUCUAGACUUAGCAUUUUGAAGUAAGAAAUAGCAGAUCAUGAUAUUUAAAGUAGACGGCACAAGAAAAACAACUAACAUAUUAAUCUAUUCAUGUGAGUAUUUAAUCGACAUCAAGUUUUUCAUGUUGAUUAACACAUAGACAGAUCACAUAAUCUUUUACUAUUUUUUAUACCUAAAGAAAUCUUAAAGCAUGCUUUCUAUAUAAAAAAAAUUAAACAGACAAACAAACACUUAUUUUGAAUAAACAAAAACUAGGAUUUGAGAAUCACUGACCUUUUUGUAAGCAGAGAAUGGGGCGUCGUCAAGAAGGUCUACGAUUUUCGGCCUCUACUACGUAACUCCGAGCGAGUGCCAAAAGAAAAGAGAUUUUAGAGUGUCGUUCAAAGAAGAGUAGCGAGUACAAGGAUCUAAAGUGUUGAGCUAAAAGUGCUGAAAAUAGUCACAAAGUCUGAUAUUUAUAGGUGUAAAAUUAGGGUUCUUGGUUCCUUUGAGCGAGAAUUUAAAAUUCAGAUUUCAAAACAAGUCAGACGGAUCCGUUUAAAUUAACGUUGAACCCUUAGGAUGGAUUCAUUCUCCACGUGAUUCUUCAGUGAUAAGGUUCAGGUUAUACCUGAAAUGGUGGGAUAUACUCUAGCGCGUAGGGAUUUAAAACUUGAAAGUCAAGACUUGGCUAAAAAAUGGAGAAAAAGUCAAGAGAUAGCUUUGCCAUGGCAGAGAUUGAAAACGACAAUAGAGAGGGAAAGGGAAUCAUUUGUUUUUGGUGAAAGAGGAAUUGGGGUUUCUAGAAUAAUCUUUAUGGAUUGGAUUUUUGGGACUAAAAAUAAAAUAAUCCGAUUGGGCUUAUUAGAAUCAUUAGCCAAAUUAGGCAUAUUAUGUUGAAAUUUGAAUUUUAGUCCAAAAAAUGGAGAAGAGAACAAAGGUGUAGGUAUGCU
rnacentral:lncRNA from 1 species